rnacentral:rRNA from 1 species
UCAGAUUGAACGCUGGCGGCAGGCCUANCACAUGCAAGUCGAGCGGUAGAGAGAAGCUUGCUUCUCUUGAGAGCGGCGGACGGGUGAGUAAUGCCUAGGAAUCUGCCUGGUAGUGGGGGAUAACGUUCGGAAACGGACGCUAAUACCGCAUACGUCCUACGGGAGAAAGCAGGGGACCUUCGGGCCUUGCGCUAUCAGAUGAGCCUAGGUCGGAUUAGCUAGUUGGUGGGGUAAUGGCUCACCAAGGCGACGAUCCGUAACUGGUCUGAGAGGAUGAUCAGUCACACUGGAACUGAGACACGGUCCAGACUCCUACGGGAGGCAGCAGUGGGGAAUAUUGGACAAUGGGCGAAAGCCUGAUCCAGCCAUGCCGCGUGUGUGAAGAAGGUCUUCGGAUUGUAAAGCACUUUAAGUUGGGAGGAAGGGCAGUUGCCUAAUACGUAACUGUUUUGACGUUACCGACAGAAUAAGCACCGGCUAACUCUGUGCCAGCAGCCGCGGUAAUACAGAGGGUGCAAGCGUUAAUCGGAAUUACUGGGCGUAAAGCGCGCGUAGGUGGUUUGUUAAGUUGGAUGUGAAAUCCCCGGGCUCAACCUGGGAACUGCAUUCAAAACUGACUGACUAGAGUAUGGUAGAGGGUGGUGGAAUUUCCUGUGUAGCGGUGAAAUGCGUAGAUAUAGGAAGGAACACCAGUGGCGAAGGCGACCACCUGGACUAAUACUGACACUGAGGUGCGAAAGCGUGGGGAGCAAACAGGAUUAGAUACCCUGGUAGUCCACGCCGUAAACGAUGUCAACUAGCCGUUGGAAGCCUUGAGCUUUUAGUNGCGCAGCUAACGCAUUAAGUGACCG